GGUUGGUGGUGCAUGGCCGUUCUUAGUUCGUGGAGCGAUCUGUCUGGUUAAUUCCGAUAACGAACGAGAUUCUUGCCUGCUAAAUAGACGGCGUCGACUGUGUGCGGCGACCGUUCGCUUCUUAGAGGGACAAGCGGCUUUUAGCCGCGUGAAGCUGAGAGCAAUAACAGGUCAGUGAUGCCCUCAGAUGUUCGGGGCCGCACGCGCGCUACACUGUUUGCAUCAGCGUGUUUCUCCCGCGCCGAUCGGCGCGGGCAACCCGUUGAACCGCAAACGUGCUAGGGAUCGGAGAUUGCAAUUGUUCUCCGUGAACGAGGAAUUCCUUGUACUGGCGAGUCAUCAGCUCGCGGGGAAUCUGUCCCUGCCCUUUGUACACACCGCCCGUCGCUACUACCGAUUGAGUGGUUUAGUGAGGCUCACGGACUGCAAGCGGCACCCGGCGGCUUCGGCUGUCACUCGUCGCGCGCGGAAAGUGAGACGAACUUGAUCACUUCUAGGAAGUAA
rnacentral:rRNA from 1 species